rnacentral:rRNA from 1 species
CCUACGGGGGGCAGCAGUGGGGAAUAUUGGACAAUGGGGGGAACCCUGAUCCAGCCAUGCCGCGUGUGUGAAGAAGGCCCUCGGGUUGUAAAGCACUUUCAGUGAGGAAGAACGCCUGGUGGUUAAUACCCAUCAGGAAAGACAUCACUCACAGAAGAGGCACCGGCUAACUCCGUGCCAGCAGCCGCGGUAAUACGGAGGGUGCGAGCGUUAAUCGGAAUUACUGGGCGUAAAGCGCGCGUAGGUGGCUUGAUAAGCCGGUUGUGAAAGCCCCGGGCUCAACCUGGGAACGGCAUCCGGAACUGUCAAGCUAGAGUGCAGGAGAGGAAGGUAGAAUUCCCGGUGUAGCGGUGAAAUGCGUAGAGAUCGGGAGGAAUACCAGUGGCGAAGGCGGCCUUCUGGACUGACACUGACACUGAGGUGCGAAAGCGUGGGUAGCAAACAGGAUUAGAUACCCGUGUAGUC